rnacentral:rRNA from 1 species
AUUGAACGCUGGCGGCAGGCCUAACACAUGCAAGUCGAGCGGAUGAAGGGAGCUUGCUCCUGGAUUCAGCGGCGGACGGGUGAGUAAUGCCUAGGAAUCUGCCUGGUAGUGGGGGAUAACGUCCGGAAACGGGCGCUAAUACCGCAUACGUCCUGAGGGAGAAAGUGGGGGAUCUUCGGACCUCACGCUAUCAGAUGAGCCUAGGUCGGAUUAGCUAGUUGGUGGGGUAAAGGCCUACCAAGGCGACGAUCCGUAACUGGUCUGAGGGGAUGAUCAGUCACACUGGAACUGAGACACGGUCCAGACUCCUACGGGAGGCAGCAGUGGGGAAUAUUGGACAAUGGGCGAAAGCCUGAUCCAGCCAUGCCGCGUGUGUGAAGAAGGUCUUCGGAUUGUAAAGCACUUUAAGUUGGGAGGAAGGGCAGUAAGUUAAUACCUUGCUGUUUUGACGUUACCAACAGAACAAGCACCGGCUAACUUCGUG